AUGAUUUAUUAUAGUUGAUAAUAAUACGAUAUUAAAAGCUUAAAAUAUAGCAAAGUUUUUUUACAACACAACUUUGUAAGACUAACGCCCGUAUUCUAAAAGCUCACUCACAUUCACACUCAAUGAGUGGAGGUUCAAUCUGAGCUUCUCUUGAGUGUCAAUGCUGUUUUUGAAUAGCUGGAGGGUGAGUAGUCACCGAGUAAGGUAUGAUACUAGCCCUCCAGAUUGAACCUCCACUCAUUGAAUGUGAGCUUUUAGAAUACGGGCGUAAGAGUCUCUAUCUUAAAUAAAACCGUACAAAUAUCAUAUAGAUAAAUACUAUAGCUAAGGUUAGUGCUACAGAUGGUGGUCAACCUGCAUUUAUCAGAGUGAGAAAAUGGGGCUAAUUUACUGUGGCAAGUAGGGUAUAGAUUUUGGGACAAUGCCUGAAAUAGGGGAUAGAAACUCGUUUGUAUUUUUGUGGCAAAAAGUACUUAAUAGACUGGUGGCUCUCCACCCCACCGAAAAAUUGAGGAGCACUUCCAGGAAAUAGAAUCGAUAGAUGUGGUUGAGAACUCUCAUGUAAGUAAACUCUCGCUUCUCAACUCUGAUCAAUUCAUCCUUCUGGAAAGUUCUCAGUCUUGGCUAUAAAGCCUCGUUUUCGUGAUUGAGUUUAGAGCCCUUUAUUUUGUUACAGGUGACACAUUUACGAAACCAUACAGUUAUAUAGUGAAUAUAAAUCUCAAACAUGGAAACGAGGCUCAAUAGCCAAACUAAGUACUUUCCAGAAGGGUGUAUUCUCUUUCCAGAAGGGUGUAUUCCAGGGCCGUAGCCACGAGGGGGAGGGGCUAUGGGGCUGCAGCCACCCCCAAUAUUUCGCUAAUAAUCAUUCUUUUUUUUAAAUCAUGCAAACUUCAAAAUCAUCAGGCUAUAACGCUGUUUUCUGACCUUCUGAAUUCUGUCAAAUCUUCCCCAAAGUCCAGGAAAUCGCAUAUUCAGAGACUCUGAAUUCAAAAAUUUCCCCUAUAAAGUCUCGCGCCUGCGGCGUUCGACUCGGUCCUCAUUUUCAGCCCCCCC